GCGGGCGUGGCGGAACUGGCAGACGCGGCGGAUUUAAAAUCCGCUGGCCGUAAGGCCGUCCGGGUUCGACUCCCGGCGCCCGC
rnacentral:tRNA from 1 species